rnacentral:rRNA from 1 species
GACGAACGCUGGCGGCGUGCUUAACACAUGCAAGUCGAACGGAAAGGCCUGCUUUCCCUUGUGGAUUGCGGGUACUCGAGUGGCGAACGGGUGAGUAACACGUGAGUGAUCUGCCCCCAACUUGGGUAUAAGCCUGGGAAACUGGGUCUAAUUCCCGAUAGGACUGCAGGGUGGUGCCUGUGGUGGAAAACGAUUUUCUAGUGGUUGGGGAUGAGCUCGCAGCCUAUCAGCUUGUUGGUGGGGUAAUGGCCUACCAAGGCGGCGACGGGUAGCCGGCCUGAGAGGGUGGACGGCCACAUUGGGACUGAGAUACGGCCCAGACUCCUACGGGAGGCAGCAGUGGGGAAUAUUGCACAAUGGGCGGAAGCCUGAUGCAGCGACGCCGCGUGGGGGAUGACGGCCUUCGGGUUGUAAACUCCUUUCGACCGCGAGGAAGCCACCUGGUUGGAAGGGUGGUGACGGUAGUGGUAGAAGAAGCACCGGCUAACUA